rfam:Capsella rubella cultivar Monte Gargano unplaced genomic scaffold scaffold_7, whole genome shotgun sequence.
AAGGGUCAAGUGAGGAUUAAUAAUGCAUAGUUCAGAUGAUAUAAUCUCCAUGAUUACAAUUCUGUAGCAUAGUCUUUCGCUCCUAUCUGAUGAUCCCU